AAGUCGUAACAAGGUUUCCGUAGGUGAACCUGCGGAAGGAUCAUUAUAAAAUUUUCAUAUAUUAUUUAUUUAAUAUAUAAAAUUAUAUACAAAAUGUAUUCAAAACCCACACACUUUAUAACCAAAAAAAAAAUAUAUAUUUUAAAUAUAUAUAUAAAAAACAACUUUCAACAACGGAUCUCUUGGCUCUC
rnacentral:misc_RNA from 1 species